rnacentral:tRNA from 1 species
AGUCCUCGUAGUAUAAAAAAUUACACCGGCCUUGUAAACCAGAAAUGAAAUGCACACCUCCAAGGACA